rnacentral:rRNA from 1 species
UACGGAGGGUGCGAGCGUUGUCCGGAAUCACUGGGCGUAAAGGGCGCGUAGGCGGCCCUGGCAGUCGGUGGUGGAAAGCCCCGCGGCUCAACUGCGGGUCGGCCACCGAUACUCCAGGGCUCGAGUUGGUAGAGGCAGAUGGAAUUCCGGGUGUAGCGGUGGAAUGCGUAGAGAUCCGGAAGAACACCGGUGCGAAGGCGGUCUGCUGGGCCAUGACUGACGCUGAGGCGCGACAGCGUGGGGGAGCAAA